GCUAUCGUAUUUUAAAAAUAGAAUAUAUAACUUGUAAUUAUAAGGUUUAAGGUAGCU
rnacentral:tRNA from 1 species